rnacentral:rRNA from 1 species
CCUACGGGUGGCAGCAGUGAGGAAUAUUGGUCAAUGGGCGCGAGCCUGAACCAGCGAAGUAGCGUGAAGGAUGACUGCCCUACGGGUUGUAAACUUCUUUUAUAAAGGAAUAAAGUGAGGCACGUGUGCCUUUUUGUCUGUACUUUAUGAAUAAGGAUCGGCUAACUCCGUGCCAGCAGCCGCGGUAAUACGGAGGAUCCCAGCGUUAUCCGGAUUUAUUGGGGUUAAAGGGAGCGUAGAUGGGUUGUUAAGUCAGGUGUGAAAGUUUGCGGCUAAACCGUAAAAUUGCAAUUGAUACUGGAAGUCUUGAGUACAGUUGAGGUAAGCGGAAUUCGUGGUGUAGCGGUGAAAUGCUUAGAUAUCACGAAGAACUCCGAUUGCGAAGGCAGCUUACUAAACUGCCACUGACAUUGAUGCUCGAAAGUGUGGGUAUCAAACAGGAUUAGAUACCCGAGUAGUC